GCCUUUAUAGCUCAGUGGUAGAGCGCAUCACUCGUAAUCAGCUUAUGCAAUUAUUACGUAAGCUUACUAAUGAUGAGGUCCAUUGUUCGAAUCAGUGUGGAGGCA